AAAGAUGGAUCGGAAUGAUGAGAGAAUAAAAAGAGCUUUAAGACGCCGCCCUUAUGUGUUGAAACCAGUGAGGGUGAACAGCCCUGAUUCCGUGUUGUGGCCAACCGGCAAGGUGCACAGAAGGCCAAAGCCUUCUACUUCAGUGCAGACCCCUCAGAUCCACAAAAGGCCUCCAAUCAUUGUGAGCUAUGGGCAGGACCAAACAUCUGGGGAUGGAUGGAGCGUCAAUCCAGAGCCUCUCAGCCAG